rnacentral:misc_RNA from 1 species
UUGAGGUUCCUAUAUACCGCUUUAUCCAACCGAGGUCGUCUCAAAGCGGUUUACACUAUAUUAUCCCUGGCUAUUUAGCCGUUGCUACAAGCCAAUGUCUUUCGCAUCUCCGUAGGGAGCAAACAGUCGGUACUGCCAUUUAGGCAGCACAGCUAACAUUAUAAAGUUCCAGCACUGCCCAACCACAUACUCAUUUACCGCUGAGUAGACUGGAACAAGCGGAGUAAAGUAUAUAGUUAUAAGAUCCAACACAGUGCCAUAACGAGAUUCGAGCCCGCAACCCUUGCGUCCUACCACUAGACUACCGUGCCGCUAUACGACUAAAUGAAAGUUAACAUUUCGUCUGGUGAAUAUAUAUUGUAGUUUGUUAUGUUCCCUAUUGUUAACAGAUGUAUAUGUAUUUACAUACAUGAAAAGUUAAAAUUAGGGCGACAUAUAGGUCUGUAAAGCAUUAAUACUUGUAUAAUCAAUCUGCAGACGUGUACACUUAGCUACACAUAUGGAUACAAGUUAUGAUGUCAUUUAUCAAAUGUAUAAUCAUAUUGUGACGUAUACCUGUACGUUUCCAGUCAACAGUUCCUUUUUACUUCCUCGUGCUACUAUUCCUCGUCUAUCAAGGAAGUGUUCUGAUUCAUAUCGGAUCCUACUUCGGUGGCACCGUAUCUUGGAUCUACAUCAAUCGAUAAAAAUAUUCAUUAACAUGGAUUUAGUCCACAUUGCUGAUCUUCUUCUGCGUUUGAAGGAAAUUGGCGAUAAUCUUCUGCCACACGAUAUGGAAAAGCUUCAUUUCAUUUGUGUUGGACUCAUACCAUACUCAUAUGAAUUACGCAAAUUGGAUGCGUUUUCUCUGCUUUCGGAAAUUGCUACAAAACAUACAAUCGAAGGUGUCGUUGAAGCUUUGAUAAGGAUCCAUAGGAUAGACUUGCUUAAUAUGCUUGUACAAGACCAGGAUCAACAGGACUUGGCCAGAAGAAUGUAUUCUGUUUUGAACACCACACACUUUGAUAGACUAAGGGUAGCGCUGCUUAAUAUAGCAGAUAACAUGACAGACGAUGAAGAUCUAAAAAUACUCAAGAAAGUCGUAGAAACAAAAAUAGUUAAGAGCAGUCUUCAUAAAGUUCAAACUGUGCUAAAAUUGUUUGAUCUGCUCAUGCAAAAUAUCAUCCUUGAUCCCAAUCAACCUGAGACUGUGCAAGCAGUGUUCCACAUUUUCGCAGAGAAAUCCUGGUUCACCAAAGUUCAAUCUGAAUACGUUGCUCCUGCUGCAGUAGAAGAGAUGAGAGAACGUACACAACAAGUUGCUGCUGACGUGACAGAAGUGAUGAGAAGACGUACACAACUAGUUGCUGCUAACAUGAUAGAAGAGAUGAGCAGCCGUACACUCCAUGGUGCUGCUGAUGAGAUAGAAGAGACAUUAAGAAGUACACAACAAGGUGCUGCUGAUGAGAUAGAAGAGACAUUAAGAAGUACACAACAAGAAGCUGCUGCUGCGAUAGAGGAUAAGCCACGAUCUAUACGACAAGUGAUUGCCGUUGCAACAAGAGAGACGAAACGUUGUACACAAGAAGGUAAGGAAUCUAUAUGCAUACAUUGUAUUGAUAAGACUUGAAUGUGAUGCUAUCAUAUCCAAGUAAGGUCGUUUUAAAAUAGUUUUCGAUAGAGCCGGUGAUGCGUGAUUUCCAUUUUAUCUUUCAAGUCUGGUCGAGUUUGAUUUCGAAGAACGGUUUUGUUAAAAAUUGAUAUUUUUUCAAAUCAUGUGUUAAGCCCCAGUCACACCGAGCUUGCGACCAGGAUACACCAAGCGGCUAAUGAGAAAUGUUUGAAUUGCGGGUAAAUCGUAGAAAGAUCGUGCGACUAGUCGCAGAGGUCGUGGGUGUUCACACGUUCAAUAUCAGUCGCAGCAAGGUCGACGGUCAUAAUCAAACCGUCUUACUUGCUAUUCUAAAUCGUAAGCGUUCGCAGACAGGUCUAACAUGUUCGCGCCACCUGUCAUACGAUCCCACGAUCGGUGGUGCGACCAGUCCCGACUUGUUGCACAACCUUACGAUUGGUGGUACCACCAGUCUUUAGCUACCGGACGAGUAUGUUUGGAGUGAUUUCUGGGGUUCAAGUCACUCUCCACUACAACACCGAAAGAGAGCUUUGCCGAUAAUUCAAUUUGUGUCGGUGUCCUAUAAAAUAUUCCUCCCCAUAAGAUACAUAUCCGGAUGAGUAUUUUAUGCAUACAGUACUCAUCAAGGUGAAUGUUGUAUGAAUAAAAAACUCACCCCCCCCAUAAAAUAUUCAUCCCCCCUAAAUCUUAUCAAACCUUUUUACUUUGAUACACAUUUUAUAGCAUUACUACAUCAUGUUACCUGUAGUACAUGAUUCGUUUAUGUCUGUCCAGGUAAUACACACUAGGGUGUCACCUUUGUGGGGACUGGGGCCCUGGGGGCUAAUCAAUACAGGUGAGACCUAUAGGUGACAGGUGAGCAGCACACAGGUGUGGCCUUUACCCAGAAAAAAAUGCAUUAUUAUUGAUGUCAUAUGUGGGAUGAAUAAAACAAUUACAUACUUUAACUGUACUGGAGUUUAAAAAAAAAAUGUGAGAAUAAUGCAAUUGACAUUGGUACUUCUAUACUGUAUUCUGAAAACUAAAGUUUUUUCUUCUUGAUAUUAGAGUUCACUUCAAUUUCUUACUGUAUAAAUAAUGACUCCUUCCCCCAAAAAACAAAAAAGAUAAUCAAAAAAAUCUUUAUUACAGUUCAAAUGAAGUGUAAAAGUGAGAAUAUAAACUUGGCUUAUUUAGAUACUUGUAUACUGUAUUUAAAAUGUAUUUAGAAAGAAAGAACUAGUUGUAUAUUUUUUGAUAUUGUAGUAAAGUUGAUUUCUUACAUUUGUCCUAUAGUAUAUGACUAUAGGAUAAGGUAGAUGGUUAUUUUAUGGGGGUGGAUAGGUAUUUUAUGACUAAAGAAGAGGGUAGAUGGUUAUAUCAUGGGGAGGAUAGGUAUUUUAUGGCUAUAGUAGAGGGUACAGGGUUAUUUUAUGGGGGUGGAAAGGUAUUUAAUGGCUAUUGUAUAGGGUAGAUGGCUAUUUUAUUGGGAUGGAUAGGUAUUUUAUGGCUAUAGUAAAGGGUACAGGGUUAUUUUAUGGGGGUGGAUAGGUAUUUUAUGACUAUUGUAUAGGGGGUUGAUGGUUAUUUUAUAGGGGCGAUAGGUAUUUUAUAAUUAUAGUAUAGGGUAGAUGGUUAUUCUAUGGGGUUGGAUAGGUAUUUAAUGGCUAUGGUAUAUGGUAGAUGGUUAUAUAUGAAGGUGGAUAGGUAUAUAUAAUGGCUAUAAUUUAGAGAAGAUGGUUAAUUUAUCGGUGUGGAAACGUAUUUAAUGGCUAUAGUAUAGGGUGGAUGGUUAUUUAUGGGGGUGGAUAGGUAUAAAAAAUGGCUAUAAUUUAGAGAAGAUGGUUAUUUUAUCGGUGUGGAAAGGUAUUUAAUGGCUAGAGUAUAGGGUAGAUGGUUAUUUAUGGGGGUGGAUAGGUAUUUAAUGGCUAUAGUAUAGGGUACAGGGUUAUUUUAUGGGGAUUGACUGAAUUGACUGAAAUUUCAAAAUCUUCCUCUCAAGACCCAGAUAUGGUAGAACCAAAAUUUCUUCA